UGGGGAAUAUUGCACAAUGGAGGGAACUCUGAUGCAGCGACGCCGCGUGAGUGAUGAAGGAAUUCGUUUCGUAAAACUCUGUUCUAUGGGAAGAAAAGGACUGUACCAUAGGAGAAAGCUCCGGCUAAAUACGUGCCAGCAGCCGCGGUAAUACGUAUGGAGCGAGCGUUGUCCGGAAUUAUUGGGCGUAAAGGGUACGUAGGCGGUUUAAUAAGUCCUAAUUAAAAGGCUAUGGCUCAACCAUAGUAUGGUUAGGAAACUGUUGAACUUGAGUAGAUGAGGGGAAAGUGGAAUUCCAUGUGUAGCGGUGAAAUGCGUAGAUAUAUGGAGGAACACCAAUGGCGAAGGCAACUUUCUGGAAUCAAACUGACGCUGAGGUACGAAGGCGUGGGGAGCAAACAGG
rnacentral:rRNA from 1 species